CGUCACUCCAUCAAGUCCUAUUAAUGACCUCCAAACAUCACGUCCUUCAUUACAUGUCCUUUCAUGUGCUUGCUCUAGCAGAACAUCCUCUCUCCUGUGUCUGCUUCAGUGAAACGUUCCUUCAGGAGUCUGCCAUAGCCUUUCACACCUGUGUCUACUUUAAUGAAAUGUUCCUUCAUGUGUUUGCACCAGCAACCAUCCAACCGACUUUCCAAAGGACCCUUAAGCUUCCACUUCAGAGUAGGAGAGAAACAGUACAGCAAAGGCAAGGGAAGUGUGCUGGAGUGAAGGCACACAGUGCAAUGGCUGGCCUUGUUUGGAUCCUGAUUGGAAUAAAGUGACAGAAACAGCAUACUUGGAAGGAAGUGGUGGGCACUGGAACAGUGUCUCUCAGGGACCACUGAAGAAUUCUCCUAGGUCUGACGGCUUCUAGUCAGCUAGAGAAAAGGAAGGGGCUGGCCAAGGCAUCUCUCAGACGAAAAUGAAGUAAUGUCUAGAAUUUGUUUUCAAAAUAAUCUGCAAUGAGAGGCUGGAGGUGAAGAGAGGCUGGAGGUGAAGAGAGACUGGAGGUGAAGAGAGACUGGAGGUGAAGAGAGACUGGAUCAAGGGCACUUGGCCAUAGAUCGACAGGCUGAUGGAGGUGUCCAUGUCUUCAUACUUAUUCUUUUUGGAUUGAAGCUUAGCAAAAAGUCUUGUUUUCAUCACCUAAACUAGUGGUCACUGCCCUGCAGAGGUAUUUCCAUAGUAACAGAAGCGUGUUUGUACUCUACCCAUAGGCCUUCCACCUUCAAACCCACCUUACUGUCAGGGAAGCAUCCAUUGUCCAGAAAAGAAACUUUGAGCCAGCUGGGAACUGUCCAGUUGUGUGUUCAGUCUAGAUUCUUCUGCUUCUUUUUAUUCUGCUCUGAGUCCACCCUCCCUCCACAGGCCCAUUCUUCUACCACCCAGAGCAAGAAUUUGCCUUCUUCUACAAUUAUCUUGUUUUAAUCUAAAGCAUUAGCAUCCCCUAGGAGCUGGGACAGCUCGACUCCUAGCUCGGCACUGCUGAAGGUGACAGAGCCAUGAAGAAGCAGAAGCCAGUGUGAAGUCUUUAGGGCCCUGGAGUCUUGUCUUUGAAUAGGAUUGUGGGACUGACCCAGCCUCUGCUUCUGCUUUCAGUCAUGCUUUGCAACAUGUUCCUGCUGUGACGUGCUAAAGUGCCAAAGGUUGCAGAGCAAUGACACCAGUCAGUCAUGGUCUAGACCCUCAGGUUUGCUUGUUUUUAGGCUGAUUUAUCUCCAAUUUUUAUCACCGUGAUGAAAGCUAACAUACUUUUUAACAAGCUUCUUAGUAUCCACUCUUCGCACCCCCUCAUCUCCUCAAACGGUCCAUUCUGAUACCAAGCGAUUCUAAGGAAGCCCCCCAGAUCCAGACUCCUCACUCUACCUGCCCUCCUAACUGCAGAGCACUUAC
ensembl:lncRNA